rnacentral:rRNA from 1 species
UACGUAGGGUGCAAGCGUUGUCCGGAAUUAUUGGGCGUAAAGAGCUCGUAGGCGGUCUGUCGCGUCGGGCUGUGAAAUCCCGGAGCUCAACUCCGGGUCUGCAGUCGAUACGGGGCAAACUGGAGUACUGCAGGGGAGACUGGAAUUCCUGGUGUAGCGGUGAAAUGCGCAGAUAUCAGGAGGAACACCGGUGGCGAAGGCGGGUCUCUGGGCAGUAACUGACGCUGAGGAGCGAAAGCGUGGGGAGCGAACAGG